UGCUUAAAGCAGGCUAUUGCCUUGAAUACUCCAGCAUGGAAUAAUAUUAAAGAUUUUUAUCUAUUUUGUUGGUUUCUAGGACCAAUGUAAUGAUUAAUAGGGACAGUUGGGGGCAUUCGUAUUUAACUGUCAGAGGUGAAAUUCUUAGAUUUGUUAAAGACGAACUACUGCGAAAGCAUUUGCCAAGGAUGUUUUCAUUAAUCAAGAACGACAGUAGGGGGUUUGAAGACGAUUAGAUACCGUCGUAAUCUCUACCAUAAACUAUGCCAACUAGAGAUUGGAGGUU
rnacentral:rRNA from 1 species